CAUUUUAUGUUGAUUCUCAAAGAUAAAGCAUUAUUAUUGUUACCUUUCAAAAUAACAGUAGUGUACCAACAUACCUGCUUAAAUGUAGUAUUAGCAUUUCAUUAUUUCAUAAGGUAAAGGAGUCGAUAAAGAUUUUUAUCAAUAAACUGAACAACCCAUCUCCCGCUUCUUCUAACAGUGUUUGUUCAUGAGUUGAUUGUUCUCAUUGAAUGUGUGAGUUGGUGAAGAAGGGAAAAACUCCAUUGUGUGGAAUUUGCUUCUGUCUGGGUUUGUCAGUUGUUCAUCCUUUGGGUCAUUGUUCAAUGUAAAGCCAGUAAAAUCCCUAAAGCUUUGCUAAUUUGCACAGAGGAGGCCAUAUAGUUAUUAGAAGAACUCUCCCGAUGCUUUAUUCCUGUGCCAGCGAAGAGAGUUUGCUACACUAUUCAAACAUUAAACAGCUCAAGCCUCUUGUGUGACAUACUACAACAUAAAUAAACCCAUAACAAUAUCAGCGAGCACAAGGGGAAGGGGAAGAAAUCUCAGUCUUGUGAAGGCCAAUCAGCAAUUUCCCAGUCGAUACAGUGGUGGACUGUUUUAUGUUUUUGUUUGACUACAAUUUUUUUCAUCGAAUGGUUUGUACAUGACACAUGUAAACUGUUGAUGGCCAUCUGUUAGUGUGCCAUUCGACUGACUUUAUGUUAAAGGAAUGUUCUGGUUUUAAUAAAAGUUUAAUCAACAGCGUUUGAGACGUUGUGACAUUUACCUCUGGAAAUAAUUUGUUGUACUUUUAGAGCACUCCACGUACCAUCAAACCACACAGGGCCAAGCAGUAAACUGUAAAAACUGUAUAUAUUUCCAAGGACUAUAGAGUAAGCAAUGUUAUUAUAGUUUACUAUAUAUAUUUAUUUAUGUUAAUUGAAAUCAAAUAAAAUGUCAUUCAAAAUAUUCUUUUAAAAACUAAGGUUUAUAACUGACUCUACACUGUAACGAAUUGCUGUAAAAACUACAGCGUUAUUUUACAGAAGCUGACUGUAUUUUAAAUAAUACAGAAUAUUGCUGUAAAGUGCAAUGCAUUCUGGGGUCACGUGACGGAUUAACUCAAUGUACAGAAUAUUGCUGUAAAUUUCAAAUCUACAAUGGCGGGAUGAUCUUCAACAGUCGAGAUUGGGGUAGUGCUCAAAAUGAAUGAUUCACACCUGUGGUAAGUAACUUAUUACGUAUUUUUUUUCCAUAUUUGGUAACUAUCAUACUGGUAACUUUAUAUAGAGGUAUCUAAAUUCGCGGUUCAUAUUGCUAACCCCGGAUUCAACCUCUAUCCGCGGGGACCGAAUGAGUCUUGCGGGGUUUCAGCAGCGCCGUCGCGGUAAGAUUUCAAACAUUCUCCGUCGCUAUAGCACCUGAGGACAGAAGUUGUUCAUGUUAUUUAGAGUUUUUGUUCACACCAGGAGUGAAGGCGGUAUGUGACGAGCUACAGUUCAUUGUAUUAGUAAGUUGACGGUUGUUUUUUUAAUGUUGAACAUCGCGCCCGCCGUAGACUCGGUAAAAGUUACAUGCUUCGACAGUUGUGAUACCACACUCGCUCGUGAUUAUUUUGUGGUGUAAUUCAAAUUUGCAAAUGCAGUCAUCCGUUAAAUCGAGCGCCCAAAUUAAAAUGAGUCACCAUAGCUUGAGGUAAGUCGAUGUUCACGGAGGAUAGCCCGGUAAAGUGAUUAAUGUACGUAACCAUCUAGAUAUACAGUUUAUGUAUCGGAGGCCAGCUGAGAGCUUGAGCAAAAGACGUUAGCGACACCCUCAUUGUAUAGCAGGCCUGUCUCCCAAAUAGGACCGUUGGAGGGUGGGAGUGAGACCCGUUACAAAAUACUAGUGUGACAAUUUCUUGACCGUGACAUCCCUAACGUUAGUUGGAUUACAUUUCUGUAUAAGUACGGUUUUAAGUGUAAGUUACUCUGUGUAAUUUGCUUAGAGUUUGUUUGUAGAGUCACUUAUACUAAAAUGUAGUUUAAAUGUAAAAUGCUUAAAGAUAAUUUAGUCACUAUUAACUAUAACUAUUGUCACAUGUGGUAUUGUUUGUUUUAGGACACACUUUGCCAUGCAGGCCACUGGAUACUGACUACUGAAGGUUAGGUUGUGUGUGACGGUGCUCAGCACAGCUUCAUGUCUGGCCUUACCACUCUGUUCAUAGCAUGUUACAUAUUCAGGCUUGAGUACCAGGAUGGGGCAAGCGUGUAUCUUUGAGUCCAAUGAAAGAUAUUAAUCCAGAGAGUGGAACAAGAAGAAGCGUCAUCUAAAAUGCCAGGAUACAGAAGAAACAGGUUGCAGUGAACCCACAUGUCGCCGCUCUUCUAAACACAAUGAUGAAUAUUCAGUGUAAUCGAUGAAAAUUCCAGCUACUUGUUGUGCUCUGAUGGAUCAAGAUGGUGACCGUUUUACAGACUCACUUGGGCCUUGUUUUGCAAUGUUGUUUCAUGAUGGUAAUGUUGGUUAACGUGUUGUUUAAACAGGAAUGUUUAAAGAGCC